CCUGUCCCUGGGCGUGCGAGGAGGUGGGGCCCUGGGAGGUAAUUAGGUCCCCAGGGCGGAGCCUUCCGGAAGGGAAAGCAGUCAGUGUCCCCAGCGAGGACUCGGCGAGAAGAGGGUCACCUGUGGGUGCCUCGGUCGUGGACUUCUCAGCCUGCGGCAAACGGCGAGGAAACAUUUCCGUGCCCGCAGUUCCUCUUCCCGGGCCCGAGCGAGCGAGCGGGGUGCGCCCGAGGCCACGCAGGUCCGCAGGGUCGCCCGCGUCCAGGUGAGCCGCGCGCGCAGCCCCGGCCCAGGUGUGGCGGCGGGACCCGCCAGGCUCCCCGGAUGGAGGGCGCCGUGCUGUGGGCGUCGUCGCUGUGGCUGUGGCUGUCGCUGUCGCUGCUGCGGGGCCCGGGCGGCCAGGGCCUGUCCUGCAACGUGACCGCGGUGGACUGGGCGGCGGAGUUCGAGGCCGAGUGCCUGAACCUGAGCGGCCUGGGCGUGCGCCCCCCGCGCAACGGCUCCCUGCGCGCGCGCCGCCUGGCGCUGCUCGACCUGUCGCGCAACGGGCUGCGGGAGCUGCCGCCGCCCGGCUUCUUCGCGCAGCUGCCGG
rnacentral:lncRNA from 1 species